AUUGAACGCUGGCGGCAGGCCUAACACAUGCAAGUCGAACGAGUGGCGGACGUGUGAGUUAUGUCUGGGAAACUGCCUGAUGGAGGGGGAUCACUACUGGAAACUGUAGCUAAUACCGCAUACCCUCGGAUGUGCCCAGAUGGGAUUAGCUAGUAGGUGGGUUAAAGGCUCACCUAGGCGACGAUCCCUAGCUGGUCUGAGAGGAUGACCAGCCACACUGGAAAUGAGACACGGUCCAGACUCCUACGGGAGGCAGCAGUGGGGAAUAUUGCACAAUGGGCGCAAGCCUGAUGCAGCCAUGCCGCGUGUAUGAAGAAGGCCUUCGGGUUGUAAAGUACUUUCAGCGGGGAGGCGUUACCAGCAGAAGAAGCACCGGCUAACUCCGUGCCAGCAGCCGCGGUAAUUC
rnacentral:rRNA from 1 species